AUUAUCUUGUUGGUGAGGUAAUGGCUCACCAAGGCGACGAUCCGUAGCUGGUCUGAGAGGAUGAUCAGCCACAUCGGGACUGAGACACGGCCCGAACUCCUACGGGAGGCAGCAGUGGGGAAUAUUGGACAAUGGGCGAAAGCCUGAUCCAGCCAUGCCGCGUGUGUGAAGAAGGCUUUCGGGUUGUAAAGCACUUUCAGUGAGGAAGAAGGCCUUGGGGCUAAUACCCCCGAGGAAGGACAUCACUCACAGAAGAAGCACCGGCUAACUCCGUGCCAGCAGCCGCGGUAAUACAGAGGGUGCGAGCGUUAAUCGGAAUUACUGGGCGUAAAGCGCGCGUAGGCGGCGUGAUAAGCCGGUUGUGAAAGCCCCGGGCUCAACCUGGGAACGGCAUCCGGAACUGUCAGGCUAGAGUGCAGGAGAGGAAGGUAGAAUUCCCGGUGUAGCGGUGAAAUGCGUAGAGAUCGGGAGGAAUACCAGUGGCGAAGGCGGCCUUCUGGACUGACACUGACGCUGAGGUGCGAAAGCGUGGGUAGCAAACAGGAUUAGAUACCCUGGUAGUCCACGCCGUAAACGAUGUCGACUAGCCGUUGGGGUCCUUGAGACCUUUGUGGCGCAGUUAACGCGAUAAGUCGACCGCCUGGGGAGUACGGCCGCAAGGUUAAAACUCAAAUGAAUUGACGGGGGCCCGCACAAGCGGUGGAGCAUGUGGUUUAAUUCGAUGCAACGCGAAGAACCUUACCUACCCUUGACAUCGUGCGAACUUUCCAGAGAUGGAUUGGUGCCUUCGGGAACGCACAGACAGGUGCUGCAUGGCUGUCGUCAGCUCGUGUUGUGAAAUGUUGGGUUAAGUCCCGUAACGAGCGCAACCCUUGUCCCUAUUUGCCAGCGAUUCGGUCGGGAACUCUAGGGAGACUGCCGGUGACAAACCGGAGGAAGGUGGGGACGACGUCAAGUCAUCAUGGCCCUUACGGGUAGGGCUACACACGUGAUACAAUGGCCGGUACAAAGGGUUGCGAAGCCGCGAGGUGGAGCUAAUCCCGAAAAGCCGGUCUCAGUCCGGAUCGGAGUCUGCAACUCGACUCCGUGAAGUCGGAAUCGCUAGUAAUCGUGAAUCAGAAUGUCACGGUGAAUACGUUCCCGGGCCUUGUACACACCGCCCGU
rnacentral:rRNA from 1 species